UGUGGGAGCGGGCUUGCUCGCGAUGCAAACACCGCAGUUUCCAAUGAAACCCCGGCGAUGCUAUCGCGAGCAAGCCCGCUCCCACA
rnacentral:misc_RNA from 1 species